CAGGAGGGGGCGAGCGUUGUUCGGAAUUACUGGGCGUAAAGGGCGCGUAGGUGGCCUGUUAAGUCGAACGUGAAAUCCCCGGGCUCAACCCGGGAACUGCGUCCGAGACUGGCAGGCUCGAAUCCGGGAGAGGGAUGUGGAAUUCCAGGUGUAGCGGUGAAAUGCGUAGAUAUCUGGAGGAACACCGGUGGCGAAGGCGGCAUCCUGGACCGGUAUUGACGCUGAGGCGCGAAAGCCAGGGGAGCAAACGGGAUUAGAUACCCCGGUAGUCCUGGCCCUAAACGAUGAAUGCUUGGUGUGGCGGGUAUCGAUCCCUGCCGUGCCGAAGCUAACGCAUUAAGCAUUCCGCCUGGGGAGUACGGUCGCAAGGCUG
rnacentral:rRNA from 1 species